GGCUGUAGCUUAGCGGUACAGCAUCUGCUUUGCAUGCAGAAGGUCCCAAGUUCGAUCCCUGCUGGGGCUG